rnacentral:other from 2 species
AAAUUUCUGGUCUAUUCGAUACUAACAAUAUAAUUUUUGGGCUUUACUCUUUUUUUAAUGGGGUUAUCACUUUACAAAAGAGAUUCAGGUCAAUCACGGCGGCAUUAGCUUUGCACGGAUUCUGUGCUGUUUUGUGAAAAUAACUACCACCUGUAACAUUUACAGGCAACCAAAAAUUAAGUUAGAACGGUAGAUUGGAUUUUUU